CCUACGGGAGGCUGCAGUGAGGAAUAUUGGGCAAUGGGAGAGAUCCUGAACCAGCCAAGCCGCGUGAGGGAAGACGGCCCUAUGGGUUUUAAACCUCUUUUGUCGGAGAACAAAACCCGGGACGUGUCCCGGACUGCGUGUAUCCGAAGAAAAAGCAUCGGCUAACUCCGUGCCAGAAGCCGCGGUAAUACGGGGGAUGCGAGCGUUUUCCGGGUUUGUUGGGUUAAAGGGGUGCGUAGGGGGUCCUUUAAGUCAACGGUAAAAUUGCGGGGCUUAACCCCGUCGAGCCGUUGAAACUGGCGGACUUGAGUUGGCGAGAAGUACGCGGAAUGCGCGGUGUAGCGGUGAAAUGCAUAGAUAUCGCGCAGAACUCCGAUUGCGAAGGCAGCGUACCGGCGACAGACUGACGGUGAGGCACGAAAGCGUGGGGAUCGAACAGGAUUAGAUACCCGUGUAGUC
rnacentral:rRNA from 1 species